rnacentral:rRNA from 1 species
CUAAGAAUAUUCCGCAAUGGACGAAAGUCUGACGGAGCGACGCCGCGUGGAUGACGAAGGCCGAAAGGUUGUAAAAUUCUUUUGCGGGCGAAGAAGAAGGCGCGGAGGGAAUGCCGUGCCGGUGACGCCGGCCCGCGAAUAAGCCCCGGCUAAUUACGUGCCAGCAGCCGCGGUAACGCGUAAGGGGCGAGCGUUGUUCGGAAUUAUUGGGCGUAAAGGGCGCGUAGGCGGCCGCGUAAGUCUGAUGUGAAAACCCCGGGCUCAACCCGGGAACUGCAUUGGAAACUGCGCGGCUUGAGUCACGGAGGGGAAGCCGGAAUUCCUGGUGUAGGGGUGAAAUCUGUAGAUAUCAGGAAGAACACCGAUGGCGAAGGCAGGCUUCCAGCCGAUGACUGACGCUGAGGCGCGAAAGUGCGGGGAGCAAACAGGAUUAGAUACCCUGGUAGUCCGCACUGUAAACGAUGCGCACUAGGCGUCGGGG